UGAAAUUAAGCUUUUUAGUUAUAUUUGACUUUUAUACAUUGCAUAGUUUAAAAAGUAUGCUAUCGCAUAUUAUUGUUUAUACUUAGCCGGAAUAACAAUAAACAACACUCCAGUUGAGUCUUCACGUGGAAAUGUUGCAAAGAAAUUUGUGAGAAAGGUGAUGUGCAACUAGGUUCGCGGAUAAUUGAUAUUGGGAGUAAAGUCAUCUGAACUAAAAGAUAAGGUCACUCCAGUUCUACGUUGAUUACGCUUGGAAGGCUAAUCGGUUUUAAUAUUCAGAGGACGUAUAACGAGAUAGCGGAGCCGGCGGAACGAUUGCGGUGCAAACCCGAUAUAGAACGCGAAGUCGAUAUCUAUAACUAUCCGGCUAGCACCAAGUAGCUGUUCAUCGAGCUCUUUUCCCUGGUUGAAUGGACCAACACCGCAUCCAAGGCUCAAUCCAUGGCUUUUCGGAACAGUCACUUUUGUUCAUGGACACGGCCGACAUGCUGUCGCGAAUGGCACGAACUUACAUAUCCCUGCAGCAGUGCAAUUACUAACCACCGGAAUGUAUUGGCGGUUACUGUCAGUCAUCCGAACGCGAAUCAUCUAUUGCUUAUUCACUGCAUUCACCAACUACUGAUUACAGGCCGAACGCCUUGGCCGAAAUCUACAAUAGUUAUCGAUCGCUGCAACUCGAAGUUCUAUUGGAAGGAUCAA